rnacentral:rRNA from 1 species
AUUGAACGCUGGCGGCAGGCCUAACACAUGCAAGUCGAACGAGUGGCGGACGGGUGAGUAAUGUCUGGGAAACUGCCUGAUGGAGGGGGAUAACUACUGGAAACGGUAGCUAAUACCGCAUAACAUCAGGUGUGCCCAGAUGGGAUUAGCGAGUAGGGGGGGUAACGGCUCACUAAGGCGACGCUCCCUAGCUGGUCUGAGAGGAUGACCAGCCACACUGGAACUGAGACACGGGCCAGACUCCUACGGGAGGCAGCAGUGGGGAAUAUUGCACAAUGGGCGCAAGCCUGAUGCAGCCAUGCCGCGUGUAUUAAGAAGGCCUUCGGGUUGUAAAGUACUUUCAGCGGGGAGGCGUUACCCGCAGAAGAAGCACCGGCUAACUCCGUGCCAGCAGCCGCGGUAAUUC